GUGAUCCAUGGUCAUGUUAUUGUUGGGCAACAUUUUGGAUAUAUUUAAUGUGUCAUGCUCAACAAAAGUUUUUGAAAGACCUUUUUUGUCCUCAGCAUGGAAAAGUUUUUUUCACUUCCUUUUUUUUCCAUUGAGCUUAGUUUCCUGGCACUUACCAUCUCUUAUUAUGUCUUUAUCUUUCUUCUGGAUAAGAUUGUUUCUCCAAUUCAUAUACAGAAGCCCAGUUAACUUCUGAGUGAUCUCUCCAUGCCCUGGUACCCAGAGGUUCAGAGAUAGUGCUGUUUGCUCGGGUAAUGUUAGUGAGUGGGACACAGUACUGUUUUAAAACCUUUUUCUGGGGAAAAAAAAAAAAAAAAAAGACUUUGUAUACCUCUGAAGAAUGGAAUUAAAUUACAUUCUUCUAUUAUAUAUGUGGAUCUGAUUAUGGGAAUGACGGAAUUAAUUUAUCUUAUUAUAAAGAACAGAUCGUCUUCUAAAAUGCACAUGAAUUGUUUUUAGUUUUGUUCAUUUUAGCUGAACCAUACAACCAUUUCUCAGUAUACAUUACAACAGUAUAUUGUUUUCUGAGGGAGAGGGAAUGCAGCUCUGGAAAGCAAUUAUGGAACUAAUAUAUUUCCCUGAAAUGCACUUUGUGAUGCAGGAUUUUGCUCAUGUUUCUAAAAAUUACUUAAACUUCUGCUUAAAUUAUCCUGGUAUCACAAGUACCACUUAAAUUAAUUUAUCCCAAAGAUACUGUCUUGGUAAGGAUAAGUUUUCCAUUACUGGCAAAAAUAACUUGCCUUCCAUAAUAACUGUUUUCCCCACAUCCAGCAUGUUUUUUUCAGCAGGGAGUAUAAUGCCUACCUAUUCCGUGCACUGGGGCACCUACACUGUAUGUCACAAAGAAGACAAAGGACAUGUAUUUUGGCACUAAAAAAAACCCAAACAACAAAGCAAACAGUCAUCAUAAAAAAGUAACCUCUUCAAACAAACCCUCUGUCACCCAGCUUCCUGGUGAAUUUUGUGUAGGAGUUCAUUUUCCUUUUUCUCUGUGUACCGUGUGUUACCACAGUCUCUCAACUUCAAGAAUGAUCAGAGACCUAUAAAACAUGAUCUAAGAGGAAAGGCUGAAAGAAUUGGGGUUGUUUAGUUUAAAGAAAAGGAAAGUGUUGGCAAAAACAGUAAUGAUCUUCCAAAAUGUAAAAUGUUUCUCUGCAGAGAGAAGGCAAAAGUUUUUCUUUGUGUUCAGUGGGUCUAGGGCAAGAGGUGAUGGAAUUGGAGUAGGAGAUUUAAGGUAGAUAUUAGGAAAUUAUUUCAAACUGCAAGAGUAGUUUGGCACUGAAAAUGAUUAUCUGGGAAUCUCAUUUACUGAAGGCUUUGAAAGGAGGAUUAGGUCACGUGUCUCAGGAAUGGUUUUAGUUGCAGUAGAUUAUAUGGAGAUAACCCCAAAAGGUUCCUGCCUGGUGUAUAAUGUUUUGUUUCUCUCGGGUGAUUUACAACAGAUGCUUUACUGCGGUGUUGUUUUGAUUCUCACUCUUCCUUAUGCCCUUAGAAAAUGCCAGUAAGAAAACACGUCAGUAGGUAAAAAAUUGGGAAAGUGGAAUGGAUGGUGACAUUCCCAAUAGCAGAAUAUUAAGAAAUCACAGGCCCUGCAGGAUAACUGUUAUGUUUGAGCUGGCGUGUGACUUGCUGACAUCUCCUCCUGACAGGCUUUGGGACUCGAAUACUGGGCUGGCAUUCAACAAGCAGUGGAUAGUCAAUAUGCAGAAAUCUGUGUUUUAACUAAUCUUUUAAAUUUUAAUAUUUUUAAAUUUUAUUUGAAGUGUUGGUUUUUCUUCACUUUUUGUUGUAAGUACUUCCUGAACCUGCAAGAAGUGAGCUCUAGCCAGAGUUCACCAGUGGCCAGGUUGUUAGUCAUCAGGUAUUGUCACUGCAGCCUCAGGGAUAUUCUGCCCAAGGUGUGGGAAAAGAUAGAUAUUUGAAGUAGCAGGUCUGGAAGCCAGAAUUACCUCAACUGCUGAGGGGUAUGAAGUUGAACAUGAUAUUGUUUCAUCCAAAUUUGACAUUUAUCUUGGAGUCUUUUUGUUCUUCACAGGGCAUUCAGGUUGCUGCAAUAAUAAGGUAGUACCCAAAAUUCUUGUAUCUCUUUGAAACAGAAUCGAAGAAUUUAUCCUUUGUCCAGGAUCAAUAUACGUUCUGCUGCACAACUUAAAACACCUCUUAUUCACCUUUUCCUAAAUCUUCCUAUUUCUCUGAUUUUCACCAUUUUUCCUGUAGCCUAAAAUCUUUGUUUUCUACCUGUAGGUAGCUAUAGGUCUUCCGCAAUAACAGUGAUCAAAUGAUGCAUGGAAGGAUUAAUGAGAACCUGUGGAGUGUGACCCUCUGGCAGACAACUCUGCCUAGUCCAAGAUCAUCUAUGUCUUCAUCAUUCCUUGACAGAGAACUGUUGAAACUGGAUACUGAAUGAUGGCUACAGCCCAGCCCCUUCCUCUGGAGCUGUGAUGGUGCCACACUGCUGUAAUCCCAUUGCACUGGUCACCAGCACAGGAUCCACUUCCCCAGGGAUGGAUCCUGGUCCCUGAGCCUUAACAGGUCAGUGAGUUCAAUCAGAACCAAAAGUUAAUGCCCGUUGGCUAAUUUCCAGUGCAUGCCUCCACAGAACAACUGCUGCCUUUAACUGGUGGAGAGAUCAAGGCUUGAACUGACAAAAGACAUCUGUAUUUUGGAAAACAAAUUAAUGUUUAUGUUUUAAUUUAUAAGUUCCUGGCUCUUUUAUGGUUCCUGUUUUUCAAGUAAUGUCUCUUUGGAUCCCUAGCUGAUGGAGAGUCAAAAUGGAAAAGGCCCAUGAGAGAAUUAUCACAAUAGAACAUCUGGUCUGCAUUGGAAAAAGCUGAGAAAGAUAUUCAACAUCUCUGAGACCAAGAGGCAGCUAUGAGGCAGUUUGAAAGUCAGUCUAUAAAAAAUCAUGCAGGUUGUGGCCACCUGGGCCAACCUGGUGUUGUUUUGGAAAGAACUACUCUGCUUCCUUGUGUCUGAAUUUUAACAUUUGAUGUUUCAGCAUGGAUAUGUGAGAGCUGGGAGUGGUAUGAAAGGUGUUUGCUUUUCAUAAUGUUAAUCUGAGUCCCAGCAUUGUCCUAAUUACAUUGUGGGUUUUUUGCCAGUCUCCCAAGUUUUCUUUUGAGCAUGUAGGCUGGAGUCAAAAGGCUUUCCCAGGGCUUUUGGCAUAGCUUUAUAGGAAAAUGGAUGGAAAUGACUUUGUAUAUUUUUGGAAGAAUAUUUUGCAUCCUGCUUUAAACUGUUCCAGAAGGUAAAAGGACGUUAGCUAGACUGUGUAUUGGCUCGUGUACUGGUAUGUCAGUAAUGGCAAGGAGUUUGGCUUCACCUAAUUGUUCCUGUUUUCUGCAGUCACAGACUAUGAGAAGUGCAAAGAAAUAAUGGGCCAACCAGGGCAAUAAAGGUACUACUGGAUUCAGAGGGAACAAACUCCUUUCACCACGUGAAACUUGCGUCUUUUAAGUCAUCAUAGCUCAUGCAGAACAGAAACAAUUUGACAUGUAUAACAAGAAACACUGCAAAUUGUUUGCCAAACAAAGACUUAUACUGCAGAUGGAAGAACUGAUGCAAAUUGUUUAUAGAUGGGGAACUAAAUGUAGAUUUUUCAAGAACAAGGUUGCUCUCUUCCUUGCCAAGACAAACAACAAAUCUAAUAGAAGUCUCAUUGCUUUAGGCUGCCUGAGGACCCACUGGAAAAUCUAUGGACUGUUCUCCACAGAAAAUUUGUGUAUUGUCAAUACAUAAGUGGAUUGUCCACAGUUACACUGUGGCAGCUGCAGAGGAAGUGGAAGGUUCUCAGGAAUACAUUAGGGACAACUGGAUUUUUGGCUUCUGAUAUAGUGUGGAGUGCCUUUGGAAACUGUGGAAGUUUGUGAGCUGGAUGUUACUGCUACAAAAGGUUAUCUAUGAGUUAAACAUAAUAGUAAUUUAUCUGCUAUCUUUAGAUCCUAACACUAACAACAUGAUGAAAUUGAAAAUUCCUGUUCUUUGGAAUUGCAGCUUUCCAGGAUGCCUUCAUUCCUACGAAGAUGCCCUGAUCUGCAUUUAGUUUUCAGUGUUACCUUUAGCAAUCUGUGCACAGAUGUUUUUACAAGGCACUGUGUAGUCAUCUCAAACAACUGGUUUUAAUGGGCCAGUUAUUUAGGAAAAGCAUGUAAUGAGAACAUAAAUACAAUCCCUGAUACUGACAUAAAACAUGUAUUAGCAGAAUAAUAUAGUUUGUAUUGCCCUGAUAGAUAGGAGACCUUAGAAAUAUAAAACUUGUCAUGUCCUUAAAAUUCUGUUAUAUCUGUAAACAUAAAUGUCUUGGAAAAGAGGGCCCACAGCAUUCUAGGCUGCUUUAGGAAAGGUAUUGCCAGGAGAUCAAAGGAGGUGAUUAUUCUCCUUUACUCAGCCCUGGUGAUUCUUCACUGGAACUGCUGUGCCCAGAUCUGGGCUCCCCUCAACAUGGACAUGGACAUUCUGGAGUGAGGGCAGGAAAGGGCCAUGAAGAUGAUUAAGAAGAGCAUCUGUCAUGUGGCUGCCCCAAGGGGUUUUGAUGUGAUUAAAGAUGCUCAAAAUCCAACAGGCGAGCUCCUGAGCAGCCUGCUCUGGGUGAUUCUGCUUUGUGCUGGACUGGUUUAGACUGGAUGAUCUCCAGAGGUGCUUCCAGACUGUGAAUAUUUGAAACAGUUUGCUUAUGUCUUGUCAGCGUUUUAGCUGGAACUCAACUGUGUAGGAAUCCUAAAGAGAGCAAAGGCUGUGACCCUAGAAAUCCAUCCAGAUGGCUGAGGCCCAGAAAAGGCAUAAUGAGAGCUGCUAAGUAUUUUGAAUGUCUCAUCAGAGUGAUAUUUCACUUAAAAAUACAAAUAUAGACAUGACUUGGGUCUUAAUGACACUGAAUACCCAUAAUGUUCUCUCACUUCAGCUGGACUGCAGAUGGUAACAACCUCUCUCUAUCUGAGCACACAUAUUUUAGUUUAAUCUUGCUCUGUAAAAUCUUAUCACAUACCUUCCUCUAGAAAUUAGUAUUUGGAGCUUUAUGGUGCAGAAUUUAUUUGUUCAUUUGUUCCACAGUUUCUUUCCUUACUGGUACUGAUAUUAAUAAAUUCAAAUGUAUUUUGACAUAUUCAGUAAUAAGCACGUACUAUGUCUCAAGGAGUUGAGAAUAUCAUAAUUUGAGCAAGGUAAAAUCAAAUAUGUAAUUCCAUUGCAAAUUCUAUGGCAUUUGUAACUAUUCUUACAGCACCUUCAGAA